CUACGGGGGGCUGCAGUGGGGAAUAUUGCACAAUGGAGGAAACUCUGAUGCAGCAACGCCGCGUGGAGGAUGACACUUUUCGGAGCGUAAACUCCUUUUAUAUGGGAAGAAGAUGACGGUACUAUAUGAAUAAGCGCCGGCUAACUCCGUGCCAGCAGCCGCGGUAAUACGGAGGGCGCAAGCGUUACUCGGAAUCACUGGGCGUAAAGAGCGUGUAGGCGGAUUAAAAAGUCAGAAGUGAAAUCCUAUAGCUUAACUAUAGAACUGCUUCUGAAACUCUUAAUCUAGAAUAUGGGAGAGGUAGAUGGAAUUUCUGGUGUAGGGGUAAAAUCCGUAGAGAUCAGAAGGAAUACCGAUUGCGAAGGCGAUCUACUAGAACAUUAUUGACGCUGAGACGCGAAAGCGUGGGGAGCAAACAGGAUUAGAUACCCGCGUAGUC
rnacentral:rRNA from 1 species